GAUGAACGCUGGCGGCGUGCCUAACACAUGCAAGUCGAGCGAUCUCUUCGGAGAGAGCGGCGGACGGGUGAGUAACGCGUGGGUAACCUGGCCUGUACACACGGAUAACAUACCGAAAGGUAUACUAAUACGGGAUAAUAUAUGAAAGUCGCAUGGCUUUUGUAUCAAAGCUCCGGCGGUACAGGAUGGACCCGCGUCUGAUUAGCUAGUUGGUAAGGUAAUGGCUUACCAAGGCAACGAUCAGUAGCCGACCUGAGAGGGUGAUCGGCCACACUGGAACUGAGACACGGUCCAGACUCCUACGGGAGGCAGCAGUGGGGAAUAUUGCACAAUGGGCGAAAGCCUGAUGCAGCAACGCCGCGUGAGCGAUGAAGGCCUUCGGGUCGUAAAGCUCUGUCCUCAAGGAAGAUAAUGACGGUACUUGAGGAGGAAGCCCCGGCUAACUACGUGCCAGCAGCCGCCGUAA
rnacentral:rRNA from 1 species